rnacentral:rRNA from 1 species
UAAGGAAUAUUGGUCAAUGGACGCAAGUCUGAACCAGCCAUGCCGCGUGAAGGAUGAAGGUCCUCUGGAUUGUAAACUUCUUUUAUCUGGGACGAAAACGGGAUUUUUAUCUCAAUUGACGGUACCAGAGGAAUAAGCACCGGCUAACUCCGUGCCAGCAGCCGCGGUAAUACGGAGGGUGCGAGCGUUAUCCGGAUUUACUGGGUUUAAAGGGUGCGUAGGUGGGCUUAUAAGUCAGUGGUGAAAUCUCCGAGCUUAACUUGGAAACUGCCGUUGAUACUAUAGGUCUUGAAUUAUCUGGAGGUAAGCGGAAUAUGUCAUGUAGCGGUGAAAUGCUUAGAUAUGACAUAGAACACCAAUUGCGAAGGCAGCUUACUACAUAUAAGUUGACGCUGAGGCACGAAAGCGUGGGGAUCAAACA